rnacentral:rRNA from 1 species
GAUGAACGCUGGCGGCGUGCCUAAUACAUGCAUGUCGAGCGAACAGACGAGGAGCUUGCUCCUCUGACGUUAGCGGCGGACGGGUGAGUAACACAUGGAUAACCUACCUAUAAGACUGGGAUAACUUCGGGAAACCGGAGCUAAUACCGGAUAAUAUAUUGAACCGCAUGGUUCAAUAGUGAAAGACGGUUUUGCUGUCACUUAUAGAUGGAUCCGCGCCGCAUUAGCUAGUUGGUAAGGUAACGGCUUACCAAGGCGACGAUGCGUAGCCGACCUGAGAGGGUGAUCGGCCACACUGGAACUGAGACACGGUCCAGACUCCUACGGGAGGCAGCAGUAGGGAAUCUUCCGCAAUGGGCGAAAGCUUGACGGAGCAACGCCGCGUGAGUGAUGAAGGUCUUCGGAUCGUAAAACUCUGUUAUUAGGGAAGAACAAAUGUGUAAGUAACUAUGCACGUCUUGACGGUACCUAAUCAGAAAGCCACGGCUAACUACGUG